AUGUGGCUUCUGCUGCAGAACAGAAACUGGACUGCCGACCGGCUACAGGCGAGAGGAUGGCCACAUAACGCCUCUUGCAAAUUUUGUGACCAGGAGCAGGAGACCGCGAUGCAUCUCACGCUUCAAUGCUGUUAUGCAAGAGAGGUCUGGCAUCUCUCCCUUGGUGCCAACAGCAGGAUGUACAAUGGUGUGUCUUCGGCAAGUUCAGUUUCAGAUUGGUGGAAGAUGCUUUGUACGCAAAGAGGAGCACCAGCAAGGACGGAGGAAGAGAUAACUCUGUCGGCGUACAUCGCCUGGCAUCUAUGGAAGGAGAGAAACCGUCGAGUUUUUGAGGAUAAGGACCUGACACCGAGGGCGUUGGUAAACAUGAUUCGUGAUGACGUUACAUUGCUCAGUGAGGCUUUGAGACCUACCCAUACGGCAGAGGGGUAG
rnacentral:rRNA from 1 species